rnacentral:rRNA from 1 species
ACGCUCGACACCUAGGAGGCAGCAGUGGGGAAUAUUGCACAAUGGGGGAAACCCUGAUGCAGCGACGCCGCGUGAGCGAAGAAGUAUUUCGGUAUGUAAAGCUCUAUCAGCAGGGAAGAAACUGACGGUACCUGACUAAGAAGCACCGGCUAAAUACGUGCCAACAGCCGCGGUAAUCUGAGCGGGCUGGCAAGGC